rnacentral:lncRNA from 1 species
UAAACUGCAAUCCUUUUCAUAUUAUUACGAUGAAAAGUUAUGGGGAAAAUACAUAAAUACCUCCUACACUUGUCAUCAUAAUUUACUUUAGCAUCUAAACUUAACUGGUAAUUAUUUACCCUUCUUAACAAUUUUAAAAUGUAUUAUUUUCCUCCCUUCGUAGCUUAUACCAAGUCAAGCUUGAGCGUGUAUAACCAUUCUCGAUUUGAUUCGUUCACGUCAUUAAUGAGUCAAAAUUAAUCCGACCAGCGUCAAUUUUUUUUUUAAAUUUUUUUAUAUUUGUAAGAAAUUCUUUUCUUUUUUCACGUAUCGCCGCCACCGCACAACACCCACCACCAACUAGUCCUUAUCCUCUUCAUUACCGUCGAAUGGAAUUCAUAAAUCUCAGCACCACUACUAACACCAUCGCCAUAGCCAUCAACUCCACAAGACCCAUCACAACCAUCAACUCCACUCCACAAUACUUACUACCAAUAGUAAUAUUACUUUCUCCGCCGUCCACUCCACAAUUCCCACCACCUUUACUGAUAUCAACUCCAAAACUAUAUUUUGAAAUGGUAGUAAAUUUCACAAUAUCCAUCACCACCACCAACAAUUUCACAAUACCUAUCAUCAACAUCAACAUUAUCAACUAAAAACGUGGCAACAAAAAUCAUACAAAAACAAAUUUAUAAUGAAAUUAAAGAAUAGUUGUAGGAGAUUGAAGUGGUGAAGAGUGGAAAGGGAUGAUGGUCUGUGUGGAGAGGUGAAGGAUAGGAGCAUGGGAAUGGAACAAUACUAUCACUGUCAUCAACACUAUAGUACCCACUGUCGACUCACAAAAUCCACCAUUAACAUAGGCCACCGAUACGAACAAUUUUAUUUCCCCAAUUAAACAUCCUCCUCAGAUCUUUAAGAUAAAAAGAUUACACUCUUUAAUAACCGCAAUAUAUACCUCCGGGAAGCUCACUAUCCUACCAAAAAAUUAGAGGGCAUUUUCUUUUCUUUAUUUUGGUGGAAUGAAAGAGGUGGGUGUGGAGAUGGUGACAGAGGGGGAGGAAUGGAGGAAGUAACUGAUUACACAAAUACGAGGGGUAUCAGGUGGUUGUGAACGAAGAAGAAGGGUGGAGAGAAGAAAAAAAGAAAUAAAUAGAUUGAGAUUUGGUCAAGUUUUAUUCCUUUUUCUCAUUUUCAUGUAUGUUUGAGAGAGUGGAAACACUUUUCUCGUUAGAGGAUAUAUUAAAUUCACUUGAAAUAACAAUAAG